rnacentral:tRNA from 1 species
CGGGCUGUGGCGCAGUUGGUAGCGCGCAUGCAUGGGGUGCAUGAGGUCGCUGGUUCAAGUCCAGUCAGCCCGA